CCUGUUUCAAGAUAUCCAAAAUGUUCUCGGGUAAAGCAUCUCUUUCGUUUUGAUUCAAUGCGUCUGAAAAAAUGCAUAAAGAGAUCGUAAGAAGUCGCAACAUUUAAAAAGGACAAAAAAGAAGAACUACGUACCAGGAUCAUUAUUUUCUGAAAAAUCAAUCGAUCCAUGCGCUUGAAUUGGAUCAAAUAUUACGUUUAAAACGACACGAUCACGUUCGCUCAGUCGCUCCAUUUCUACUGAAUACCUAAGAUAUUCUAUUUUUCUUUGGUAUUGGUAGAAAACUCGUUUCUGCUUAUCACGAAUGAAUUAACUUGUUUCCAAAGCGACACCAUACCGAAUGCGUCAUUAUUUAAAUUAUACCGGUUAUUUUACAUAAAGGUGUGAUAUGUAUAAUGUAAUAUUAAAAACGUAUUAGUUUUAGGAGCUCUAAUGCUUUGAAAUUUGUUUGUCAUUAUUCGUUGUAAUAAAUUUACCGGUUUCAUAUGGAAAAUUUUAAAAGGAAGUAGAUAAUUAGGAUUUUAAAAAGAAAAAGAAAUAGAAGCUCGAUGCAUACGACACGAUAAAGAUCUUUUUUCUCGGAUAUGCAAAUUUAUCGGUUGUACUGUUAAACAGCUAUUUUGUUCAUUUAACGUUCUCACGUUUCCCACGAAGCGAAGAUAUAAGCGCGCUAAGAAAACUUUCGCAUCACGGAAGCCGGCGCAUGUUGCAUUUAUCAACUACGAAGCUCUUGGAUUCUCGUUUCUCAUUUAGUAGAUAGACUUGUCAUUCUGUUUGCUUUCAACUUCCAAAUCAUCAAUUAUGUUUGAAAGGUGAAAUACAUUAGAUCGUUAUUAGAAUUUCUGUUGAAAUAAGUUCUUGUAUUUAACUAAGAAUAAAUUUGAAGGAAUAGGACCGCAAGUAAAAGAUUCUUUUCGUUAUUCGUAAGAGCGAAGAUGUAGAUGGUCCUUAGGUUGCAUAGUACACAUGGUACUAUGCGGGGAGGGCUCCGUCACGAAGGUGAAGUUAACUGCCCAUAACUCAUAGCCGACAUAUAAUAAAUAUCGUUACUCCAUAGUGAGCACACGUGGACUUUCGCGAAGUGGUUUAUAAGCGUAUACGAAACGUACGUGAAGCAUGGAGGGACCUCACGUAUAUUCUGUGUAUAACGUCGACCGAACAUAAACGUUCGGCGUAUGUGUCUACGCCUUUUCGCCUUGCUUGCUCGAUGGAGAAGAUUCUUCUUAGAUUUUUCGCGCUUAAGCUUUUGCCCUUUAACGGCCAAGCUCGUCAACGAAGGGUGAUAUCUCAUGGACGAGUUAUGUUACAUUUUUCUUGGAAUUUUUAAAUAAUCAGGAUAAAACCAGGAAUGUGUCCUGUCGACCAACAAAACGAAAAAAAAAAAGAAAAAAAAAUAAGAAUCGUGCAAGAGGACGAACCCUUGAAAUAAGGAUAAGAAAAAAUAUCCUGCGUGACCGACCGCUGCAGUUUGUGGUUACAAUAAACAAGGAAGAAAAAAGAAGGGUCGACUUAUCAACGUAUCGCGGUCGAUGAAGCAAAAAGACAAAAGGAGCAAAGGGAGUCUGAGAGUUUCAAGAAUAAAAAUAAUAUAUGCAAGAUUCGUAGUAUCCGAUCCUGAUCCGCGGCACGACCAUCACCACAACAGCACUACUACCACCACCACCACCACCAUCACCUCCACCAUCGCCAUGCCAUCGUCAUCACCAUCUCCCUGAUUCCUCUGUAACGGAUAGGCUUCACCUCCGCAGGACGGAACUCUAGUCCGCUUCCAGUUUCGCCCUCGAGAGUUCUUCGCGGUUUAGUAGGAACGUGCCUCUCGCAACGUGCACCUCGAGCUCCUCCAUGCUCCACAAUUCUUUAUCAAAUACGACGAGUAUUCUCUGGGCAAAUUAAAACUAUCAAUUAAAAUUUCUUUGAAUUCGAUCGUUAACAAAGGCCGAAUUUUUUUAUUCGCGUUGUUUUUCAAUAUUUGUCGGAAAAAAAAGCGCGGGAAAAUUCGAAGAAGGAUAGUUUCAAAGUUGAAAAGUGACUCGCAGAAAGAGGAUGCACGUGGAAGUUUCUUCACGUUUUUUACGAAGGAUGAGGAGAAGGGUCUGAGAGAGAAAGAGAGAAAGAGAGAGAUAGACAGACAGACAGAGACACAAAAAGAAAGAGAGAGAGAGAGAGAGAGAGAGAGAAAGAGGUCGGAAAAGAAAAACAUCCUGAGGAAAGAACAAGCGAUCCCUUAUACGUAAGGAUGCGAGUGCGUAGGAGAAGAUACACGAAGCGGUGACGACACACGGAUUUGUCUCGACAUGAGGCUAAGUCCAAUUUUUUUAUCAUGCGCCACGGCGAGCUGGCUCGGUCCUGCCGAGGCUAUUCGAAGCCCUUCAUAUUCGAAGGACUACGAAUUAUCAACGGAGUUCUUCCUGGUGCCGUCGGAGGAUACGGCCGAUAGAAAUGGUUUAGCUAGCGUGGCUAGCGUUAUCAGCGUGCCAGCACCCAAUAGAACCGUAUCCGUCUUCAGAAUGCCAACGAGGAAGGGCCAAGAACGCGAAACCGAAUCUACCAGGCCACCGAGCUCGCGUUUCCUUCUCAGACAACGACCUUGGGCUCUUCCCCUUGCAGCCCUAAGUGCCGCAGCGAUGCUUCUUAUGGCUGGUUUCGAGGUUUUCGUACUUCUCAAGGCAAGAGCAGCAGCUCCAAACAGACGUCACUUGUUCCUAGGCCAAGCCCUUUUACUUGGUCUUUUUCUUUUGGCUGGACUCUCAGCUGCAGCUUCUCUCAGCCAAAAUCCUCUCUCUUGUGCAGCCUUCAGACUAGUCGGUUUACCAGCGGCCCUCGUAUUUGCGGCCCUUCUCGUCAAAUGCGUCUUCCUUCUUUCAUUGAACAGCGGUGUCUAUUUACCAGCACCUUAUCAAGCUUUGGUACUGGUAUUUGCUGUACUGGUACAAGUAGCUAUCGUCGGCCAAUGGUUUUACGGAGAACCACCCGCGGUUAUACAAGUUCAAAAUGUGGAUCAGAAUGGUCCUCUAUUGGGUUGCAAAACUCCCCUCGGACAGACAGUGGCUUCCCUAGGAUAUCCAGGGAUAUUGUUAAUAGCGGUUGCCUGUUUAGCCGUUCGAGCACGUGGCGUACGUGAUAAUAACAGGGAAGCUGCUUUUAUCGGACUCGCCGUAGGUCUGUCAUUGCCGAUUUGGAUAUCAAGCGCAAUUGGCUCUACAGUAGCCUCCUCCGAGAGCGAUAAGGAGGCGUGGCUGGCCUAUGGCCUCCUUACUACAUCGUUCCUCGUUUUUUUGACGAUGUUCCUGCCGAAGGGUCGACAAUUGGCUGCACUUGGUCGUGAAGGACCUACAACCGUCAUUCGAGAUCGCGAUGACGCACUCAGCUCUCUACCUGGCAGCGGCUACUCUCCUUCCUUUUUCCAUUUUAAACCUGCUGAGACGUCCUUGAAGAGGAAGAUGCACUAUCACAGCGCUGAUCGUGUCGCGCUGGUCUCAUCGGGAAUACCUGGUUGCAGCGCUUGCAGACACGGGGGAAGUCCAAUAUAUUCCGAUGGGAUCAAACGAAAGGGAAGAAAAAUCUUGUGCGAUGGCUAGGGAUGCAAGAGAAAGAGAAGUAAACAGCAGAGAGAGAGAAAGAGAGAGAGAGAGAGAGAGAGAGAGAGAAAGUUCCAAGACGAGGGUCAAGCACUUCUUCAGCGUUUAAAGGAAGAAGAGGGGAAAAAGGAUACCGUUAGAUCGGACGAACGACAUCGUCGAAUGGCCUGCAAGUUGCGCUUUCGCUCUUAAAAAAAAACGAAAAGGAAUAAUCAUUUGUAUAUAUGUAUUAACGUAUUUUCCAAUUUUAAUUUCGCUCGAUAAUUCGGACUCGAGUCCGAAUGAAUUUGUUAACAAAUGAAAAUAUUAACAAUGUAGUUAUUAUACUACUUGGAUAUGUAGAUUCUUUUAAAAUUCAUUUCGAUGAUAAUUAUCCUCUUGUUUGUUUGUCUCGAUUAGUCAAUAAUUACGUCAACGUUCUAAGUAUUUUAUUCAGGUCGAAAGCGUAAAACGCAAACGAGAAGCUUCAUAAUGCGAUACGUCUCUCUUUACCGUAAUGUUCAUUAUUACGAGCAAGGCGUGGAAUAUACUGGAAAUUACGAGCUAAAGGUCACUAGCCCCUUGGCCAUUCACUUAAACACAUCAAACCCCUCUCGCACCUACUUCAGAGUUUUUAUAUGACUUUUUGUUCUUCUUUUUUUUUUUCCUUCUUUUUUGCUUGGCGAGGUGAAGGAACGGGGCGGAGCGGGGCGCGGAGAAGCGGCAAAGGGGUGGAGGGAGAAAACGAAAUAAUGAAUCUUUUGAUGAGACAGAGCUGCGAUUAAAAACCCGCAUAGGUUCAUGGACCGAUGGAGACGUUUGUUCUACCGACCGGUAUGUAUUUAAGGCCGGAGGAUGCUGGAAAUCUCUACACGACUCUAUCAGCGAAUCCCAACGUAUUUUUCCAGAGAGCUACGCACCCGGGGA